UACGUAGGGGGCAAGCGUUGUCCGGAAUUACUGGGCGUAAAGGGCACGUAGGCGGAUUGUUAAGUCGGAGGUGAAAUCCUGAGGCUCAACCUCAGAAUUGCCUUCGAUACUGGCGAUCUCGAGUGCGGGAGAGGUGAGUGGAAUUCCCAGUGUGGAGGUGAAAUUCGUAGAUAUUGGGAAGAACACCAGUGGCGAAGGCGGCUCACUGGCCCGCAACUGACGCUGAGGUGCGGAAGCGUGGGGAGCAAACAGG
rnacentral:misc_RNA from 1 species